rnacentral:rRNA from 1 species
GCGAUUACUAGCAAUUCCAGCUUCACGCAGGCGGGUUGCAGCCUGCGAUCCGAACUGAGACCAUUUUUAGGGAUUGGCUCCACCUCGCGGUAUUGCGACCCUCUGUUGAUGGCCAUUGUAUUACGUGUGUAGCCCAGGUCAUAAGGGGCAUGAUGAUUUGACGUCAUCCCCACCUUCCUCCACCUUGUCGGUAGCGGUCCCAUUAGAGUGCUCUCGCGUAGCAACUAAUGGCAAGGGUUGCGCUCGUUGCGGGACUUAACCCAACAUCUCACGACACGAGCUGACGACAACCAUGCACCACCUGUCAUCCUGUCCCGAAGGACUUCACCUAUCUCUAGGUUAUGCAGGAGAUGUCAAGACCUGGUAAGGUUCUUCGCGUUGCUUCGAAUUAAACCACAUAAUCCACUGCUUGUGCGGGCCCCCGUCAAUUCCUUUGAGUUUCAGCCUUGCGGCCGUACUCCCCAGGUGGAUUACUUAUUGCGUUAACUGCGGCACGGAAGGGGUCAGACCCCCCACACCUAGUAAUCAUCGUUUACGGCGUGGACUACCAGGGUAUCUAAUCCUGUUUGCUCCCCACGCUUUCGGGCCUCAGCGUCAGUUAGAGCC